rnacentral:rRNA from 1 species
UACAGAGGUCCCAAGCGUUGUUCGGAUUCACUGGGCGUAAAGGGUGCGUAGGCGGUCGGGUAAGUCUGAUGUGAAAUCUCACAGCUUAACUGUGAAACUGCAUUGGAUACUAUCCGGCUAGAGGAAUGGAGGGGAGACUGGAAUACUUGGUGUAGCGGUGAAAUGCGCAGAUAUCAGGAGGAACACCGGUGGCGAAGGCGGGUCUCUGGGCCGAUACUGACGCUGAGGAGCGAAAGCGUGGGGAGCAAACAGG